UCGUGUCAUGUUCUGUUACUGUGUCCUUUGAGUAGAGAGUGAUCUUUCCUGGGAACCUUUACCCCGCCGGUCUCUAGACACCACCGGUCCCCGUUUCCCCCUGCAGGGCCACGGAGUCUGGAUUUACAUCCCACAGCCUGAGGAGUGCAAGACCACAGGACGGGACAAAGCCAGCAGUCAAAACUCACAUUGAAUGUUGUCCCCACAUGCAGUAGACAUGCAGACGUGCAGCACAGUGACAAAAAACAGGACAUAAAGCAUCAGACACACACAUAGCUUCCUCUCCUCCCCAUGCUUAGGAGGGUUACUUCAAGACCAAACAAGCAAACGUCUUUAGGAUGCCAAGUUCCUUUGCCUCUGCAGCACCAACCUCUCUUUAGUUUUUGUCACAAAACCUCAACAUAUAUAAGAACUCCUAUAUUCCCUGUGGACAUUUCACACAGAAGGGAGUGCAGCUAUUCCAUAAGAUGUGCCCUCUUUCAUUAUGUAUAUAACUUAUUGCUCUUACCUGCCUCUUUGCACUGUGUUAUUGUGCAUUAAAAAAACGUUUUUGGUGUAAUAUCUUUGCUGUGUUUGAGAGAAGCCAAAGAAAAAUUUCUGCUGAG